rnacentral:rRNA from 1 species
AGCGAACGCUGGCGGCAGGCCUAACACAUGCAAGUCGAACGAAGUCUUCGGACUUAGUGGCGGACGGGUGAGUAACACGUGGGAACGUACCUUUUGGUUCGGAACAACUCAGGGAAACUUGAGCUAAUACCGGAUGAGCCCUUAGGGGGAAAGAUUUAUCGCCGAAAGAGCGGCCCGCGUUAGAUUAGCUGGUUGGUGGGGUAAAGGCUCACCAAGGCUACGAUCUAUAGCUGGUCUGAGAGGAUGAUCAGCCACACUGGGACUGAGACACGGCCCAGGCUCCUACGGGAGGCAGCAGUGGGGAAUCUUGCGCAAUGGGCGAAAGCCUGACGCAGCCAUGCCGCGUGAAUGAUGAAGGUCUUAGGAUUGUAAAAUUCUUUUACCAGGGACGAUAAUGACGGUACCUGGAGAAAAAGCCCCGGCUAACUUCGUGCCAGCCGCCGCGGUAAAAC